rnacentral:rRNA from 1 species
GGUCUAGCGGCGGACGGGUGAGUAACGCGUGGGAACGUGCCCUUUGCUACGGAAUAGUCCCGGGAAACUGGGUUUAAUACCGUAUGUGCCCUUCGGGGGAAAGAUUUAUCGGCAAAGGAUCGGCCCGCGUUGGAUUAGGUAGUUGGUGGGGUAAUGGCCUACCAAGCCGACGAUCCAUAGCUGGUUUGAGAGGAUGAUCAGCCACACUGGGACUGAGACACGGCCCACACUCCUACGGGAGGCAGCAGUGGGGAAUCUUAGACAAUGGGGGCAACCCUGAUCUAGCCGUGCCGCGUGAGUGAUGAAGGCCUUAGGGUUGUAAAGCUCUUUCAGCUGGGAAGAUAAUGACGGUACCAGCAGAAGAAGCCCCGGCUAACUCCGUGCCAGCAGCCGCGGUAAUACGGAGGGGGCUAGCGUUGUUCGGAAUUACUGGGCGUAAAGCGCACGUAGGCGGACUGGAAAGUUGGGGGUGAAAUCCCGGGGCUCAACCUCGGAACUGCCUUCAAAACUAUCAGUCUGGAGUUCGAGAGAGGUGAGUGGAAUACCGAGUGUAGAGGUGAAAUUCGUAGAUAUUCGGUGGAACACCAGUGGCGAAGGCGGCUCACUGGCUCGAUACUGACGCUGAGGUGCGAAAGCGUGUGGAGCAAACAGGAUUAGAUACCCUGGUAGUCCACGCCGUAAACGAUGAAUGCCAGUCGUCGGGUUGCAUGCAAUUCGGUGA